UAACGGCGAGUGGAGCGGGAAGAGCUCAAAUUUGUAAUCUGGCACUUUCUGUGUCCGAGUUGUAAUCUCGAGAAGUGUUUUCCGCGCCGGACCGCAUACAAGUCUGUUGGAAUACAGCGUCAUAGUGGUGAGAACCCCGUAACUGAUGCGGAUGCCCGGUGCUUUGUGAUACACUUUCGAAGAGUCGAGUUGUUUGGGAAUGCAGCUCAAAUUGGGUGGUAAAUUCCAUCUAAAGCUAAAUAUUGGCGAGAGACCGAUAGCGAACAAGUACCGUGAGGGAAAGAUGAAAAGCACUUUGGAAAGAGAGUUAACAGUACGUGAAAUUGUUGGAAGGGAAACGCUUGAGGUCAGACUUGCUAUUUGGAAUUCAGCCGCAAGGUGUACUUUUCAAUUCGCAGGCCAGCAUCCAUUUUUGGGGGUGGAAAA
rnacentral:rRNA from 1 species